UUGCUUUGGCAGCACAUAUACUAAAAUUUGAAAGAUACAGAGAAGAUUAGCACGGCCCCUCCCCAAAGAUGACACAGAAAUUUGUGAAGCAUUCCAUAUUUUA
ensembl:snRNA U6 U6 spliceosomal RNA